UAGCUGCAGAUGUGUCUAGCAUUAAGUCAGAAUGGUGUCAAGGGCCCUUCUUGAACACCGGCUGCUUCUCAGAGAGACUGGUCCUAAAGCCCUAGUCUAUUACAGUCCAUGCCCAAAAGGCAGGCGUUUAAGGCUUAAAGGAGGAUGGAGAAUAAAGCUGCAUUAGAUUUUUUAAUGUUUCUGAGUCAGGAGACCCAGGGGAAGAAAUUCUCUGGUGAUCCAAAUGUCCUUUCCUCUCCCCUCCCAUCACCAAUAGUCCUUUGGAUUUCCUGAUUAAGGUGCUGCCACAAUAGCUAUGAGGUCCUACCCUUGGGCUGCUUUCCUGAUAAACCAUCCAUCACGACUCCAGCCCAUUCUAGCUAUGGGAAAGCUAAGAUAGACUAAUGAACCCAUUAAAUUAAGAAAUGCGUAGGUUACAGGAAGUAAUGUGCCAAGGGAAGGCAUGAGACAGGGGGAAGGGAGAGCAGAGACUGAACCAACCUCUGAACAGAGUACUCAGUAUAAUGAAGUCUGCAAAUACAUUAGCUCCUCCAUCCCCAGCCCUGCAAAGAAGACACAUCCCCACCAUCAAUACGAUUGUUUAGAUUUUUUUUAAAAGCAAGAAAACAUUACAAUUGAUUUGAAAGCAUCCUUAAACUGGAAGAUCUGAAUGAAGGUAUUUUGUUUUAUUUAAAUUGGUGUAAGCCAAGUAAUACUUCUCCUAUUUCACUGAGAAAACCCAUUCACCUGUCACUGGGGGGUAAUCAAUUUUUUAUUCCUUUCCCUCUGUGUUCUCUUAAUCCUCUGUUAGCCUUGAAACAAGCAAAUGUCUACCUGGGGCAGGUUGCCAUGAGUUCCCAGAGGAUGCCUUUCCCGUCUACGGGGGAAACAGUUCUUAAGGCAGGAAAAUGGGAAUGCCGUUCCUUGUGUCAAACAAAUGACUCUUUGUUGACGCAUCCUACAUUUUCACCUGGCAGCAUCCCUGAUCCAGGAGAAAGGAACAUGCCACAAGGUUUUCCACCCUUUCCUGAGUCUCUUCCUUAGCAACAGAUGAGCAACGAGGGGCAGAGGUUGGCAUCCAUUCGUUCUGGAUCAUCUCUGUCCAAAACCACAAUGUAUUCCACAGAGGAAAUGUCAUUUGUUCUGUGAAACUGACAAAGGGGGAAAGCCUGAUUUCUCUGCCUCAGGAAACAUGAUGUUAUGGAAAAGCCUGGGUUUGAUUUUCUCUUUCACCUCGGUCCUGGUUGGAUCAUGUUUUUGACCCUCCUUUACUGCCAAUAACUUGCAGUGGAUGCCAAGUACCACCAAGGAGGAACAUUAAAUUAACCCAGGGUGGGAACUCCAGAAUCCUGGCUGGUAACACAAAUGAGUGGGGGGAGCAGGUGUACUACAGUAGUGAUCAGUGGGACCCGUGGUGAUUUAUUCAGCUUUGAGCCAAGUGUGGCCAUGUAGAAAUAUUUACCUGCAAUGCUGGAUCAUUUAAGUUGUUUUUUAAUGAGAGGAGAAAUCUAGAUUUUUAUUAUGGGCAAAAUCUCCAGAUUGUUGAAUACCGAGUAGAGGCCAAACAAAAUUCAGUUCCUACCUCAUCUAGCCCUUGGGGUGUGAUUUGUGAGUUCUGCUUUAGACCCAUUUACAGUGCAACUCAAAUGGGUAGUUAUCCGAUUAGAUUUGAAGAUGUUUGUUUGUUUGUUUGUUUUGGGUUUUUUUGCAUUUUAGGGCUGCACAUGCAGCACAUACCCACCUUAUACCAUAACCACAGCCAUGCCAAAUCCAAGUUAUGUCUGUGACCUACACCACAGCUCACAGCAACUCCAGAUCCUUAACCCAAUGAGCAAGGCCAGGGAUCAAACCCUCAUCCUUAUGGAUACUAGUCGGGUUUGUUACUGCUGAGCUGUAAUGGGAACUCCUGAUUGGAAGUUUUGAUGGAGAGAUUGAGCAUGGUGGAGAGGCAGCAUAAGGCCUGCCUAUAAUUGGGCCAGUUGAGGGAAAAUCCCACCUGCAUGACCACACAGGACUGCAGAUUGAGCAGAUCCCAGGACUGUACCUAUGGGAGUGGGUUCAAAGGCUUCUUAUUCUAAAAGUGGGGAAUAUGGGCACAGGUAGUGCCAAAAGACGUCUAAAACUAGGAAAUGUAGCUAAAGAGCUUAAAAAAGGUGACUCAUGAGUGCAGAAAGCCCAAAGUCUAACACCAAGGAUGCUGCUAUGUACUGAAUAAGUGUCUACCCCCCCUCCCCCAUUCAUAUGUUGAAGCUGGAAUUCCCAGUGCAAUGGUAUUUGAAGGUAGGGCCUUUUAGAGGUAAUUGGGUGGAUCUGCACCAGGUCAGGGGGGCAGAGCCCCCUUGGAAUUCGCUCUUUCUCCCCCCCCUCUCUCUUCUUCUCUCUCUCUCUCUCCCCUCUUCCCCUGUGCCAUGUAAAGAUACAAGAAAGCAGCCAUGUGUAAACCAGAAAGAGGGCCCUCAUGCUGUCACCCUGAUCUCAUACAACCAGGACUGUUGAGAAUGAAACAUCUGUUGUUUAAGCCACCCAGUCUAUGAGAUUCUGAUACAUCUGCCUGAACUGAUUAGGACAGACACUAAGCAGGAUUUAUCACACCUGCCAACUACAACUGACUAGAGUGCCAGGCUACAGGGGGCAGUGGUGGGGUGGGGGGGAAGCAGGGAGGACAGUGCUAAGGAAGUGGUAUCUCUAGGGCAGUGCCCUUGUCAUCCAUGGUCUGAAAGAGCCCAAGUUCAGAGGGCUUAGCAGACAGUUGGUUCUUGCUCAGGCAGGCCCGGUUUCCACUUCCACCACAUAACUGUGACCCCUCAAAGUUACCCUGCUUCAUAUCUUUAAGUCAUGUUUAGAGUGAGUCUAUAGAAUACAUCGGAACUGGGCCUUGCACGGUGCAUUUUGGAACAAUAAAGAACAUCUCCCACAUUGGAAAUAAUCUAAAAUACAGAGUCUAAAGUGAACGACUCAAAUUCUGAUUAUGGAGAAAAAUAUCGAGGGAUAACAUAUGUAAGGGUAUAUGGGCCCCAAAAUUGGCCCUUAAUAUUUAAACACUAGAAUCAUGAGAGUCUUCUCCCCAUUCUUUGGAAGCCCACUGAGGGGACACAGAAGGGCACUACUCACACACCCCUCCAGCACUGAGCAACUCACUCUGUAGCUGCUGGGAGUGGGGGAUGCUGCUGACUCAGAGCUGAGGCCUCCCCACACCCACCUUCAGGCAUGGAGCUGCCACUGGGCAUGGCCCCCACUCAAUGGCUGCUCAGAGGAAUGCUUCCCUUACCUCAACCAGGACAACCCUGAAGGGCCAUCCUCAUUUCAAAACUCCCCUAAGAUUGCCUGAAGCUGCUGCUACCCCAUCUUCCUUCUCUCUUCAUUCUGCACGUAAACCUCCAAAAUGUUUCCUGGAAAACUGACAUAUGACAUGGAUCUCAUUGAAAUACAGGAGAAUAAUAGAAUAUCAAAGAUGUUGUCUACUAAUUUUCAAUGAUGUUCACACCAAAGGAAUAAAAUUGCAACUUUAGAGAUGCGAAGACGAUGUUAUGUCAAUUUUAGUGAAAUACACUUCCAUUUGUCAAUAAUAUUCAGCUUUACCUAUGCGUAGGGAAUACAUGUCAUUUUAAUUUACCUAAGAUGCCUCUCUGUUAAGUUGAGGGACUCCUUCCCAUUCCAGUCAUGAGGUUUGAGGAGCAAGCACCCAAGUCCCUGGAGGCAGGAGGCAAGUGACCCUGGUCUGGCCAGUCCUGGUUCCCAACAUCUGGUCUAAAGUGAAGAGUACAAGAGAAGAGCACAUGGCCCAGACAGAGCCAAUGAGAGUUGUUCCAUGGAAUUGAACAGUACACACUAUGAAAGACAGGCCAGGUCUUCCUCUUACAUCAUAAACUAUGAUAAUAUAAGCCUGGAGCUGCCAUUGGCCAGGUACCUCACUGCCCAUCUACAGUAGAAGAGAAUAAGGUGAACACAAAGAGAAAAGUAGAGCCAAGAGAUGAAGCAAUAUGGAGAAGAAGACCAGGAGUUACCUUGUGGCACAGCAGGUUGCGGAUCCAGCAUUGUCACUGCAGCAGCUUAGGUUGCUGCUGUGACACGGGUUUGAUGCCUGGCCCAGGAACUUCUAUAAUGCUGUGGGUAGAGCCAAAAAAAGAGACAGACAAAGAGAGUGAGAAAAUCAUACUGUCUGCUCCCUUAGAUCCAAAUGUGCUUGGGGUCAGAACUAAUUUUAGACAUCCUAGUCACAUGAGCCAAAAAUAUUCCCCUUCAUUUUGCUCAAGCAACAUUGAGUUGGAAUGUCCAUCACUCGCAGCUGAAGGCGUUUUGACUAAUUUGCUGCAUGAAUCAUCCAGCAGGAUACAGAGUAAAACAAAACCAGAUAACCACCUUAAGGGCUAAGAGUGAAACAGAGGUCCCCAACAACAGAACCCAAGAGUUCUAUCAAAUCCAGCAGAGUCAGGCAGCCAUGAAGCAAAGAUGCAUUCUGGGGAAGCUCUUUAAAAGCACAAACCUAGGCACAAUAGAGACUAGAAAGCAGGCAGAAGUAAAAUGAUGUUUGCAGUGUAAGAAAAUCACUGAUGACCCACGAAAAUAAAAACAAGUAGGAUAAUAAAUACUGUGCCUGGUAUUCUUGUUGAGGUGAGGUCAGGGGAGAUGGAGAGGGGAGACCUGACAUUUGCUCAAGCUGAGAAGGCCGAUGGCAGUGAAGAAAGUUCCAGUCCAGGUGGGUAGUCUAGAGGAAGGGGCUCUCAUAGUCAAGUUAAUACAGAGCCUUCUGUGUCAACAAAGAAGUGGGUGGUAAGAGAGAGGCUUUAUGGUUUACCCACAUCCCUCAAUUCAUAAGCAGAGGCAGACUGGCUGUGAAGCUGACAGAAAUUAAGCUUUUGUGUCCCUCAAUUGCAAAAGUCCUGCCAAGGUCCUCUGGGGAGUUCUUGAGAUUUGUUUAUGUGGUCAUAUGUGUUUGCAAAAUUUGCAACCAUAAGCUAUCUUAGCCAUAGUUGAUUUACAAGUGGCUUAAGACACUGUCUCUUUCUAACCUGAUUGCCCCCCUUUCAUACUGACCCUUGCGUUGGGUGGUGUUAAGUGGUAAUGAGCAUCUUUGGGAUACAGCUAAGGGGAAGGUGAAUUGGGGGAUGCAUUUUGAUUAGGUUUGUUUAUAAUACUGUGUAGUUCAAGGUCUUUUCCAUGUACAGUUACACCAGUAUCACGUAUAGACCUGGUAUAGGAAUGUCUUGCAGGCAUAUAACUACACAAUUUGCUGGCUUAUAAAAAGUGCAGGGCAAGAGGUACUAAAGCCAUGUGACAUCACAGAUAUAUGAGUGAGGGGGCAGAAAUGUAUUCUGAAAUGUAUAGAGCCAGCAUUCUUCCCAAUAAUCACAUGUGGAAAAUCAUAAGAACAGGAUCUAGUU
rnacentral:lncRNA from 1 species